CUCCGCAAUGAAAUUUUCUGAUAAAGAUACAUUCUUAGAUAAUUAAGUCAAGCAGUUAAGUUAAGAAAAUUUUCUUUGUUUGUCUGAGGGAGCAAAAUAAAAGGGUCUAUGUUAUUGUGUGUAGUUGGUGUCAUUGUAAGGUUUAAGCUGGUGAGUUUACAAAUGUUUGGAUAAGGUUUGGACGAGGAACCACCUUAGCCUUGAAGGUCAAUACGGGGACAUGUAUCUUUGCCAAGACGUCAACAAAUCCAUUAAGCCCACUUCCAUCUCAGCAACAAUGAAAGAAACUUGCGUUGCUGAGCUCUGCUGGCUGGGUGGCGUCACCGCACAUUGACCCAGCUACCCAAUGACUUCCCUGAAUUUUCAUUAUGUGAAAAC